CAAUGGCUAGCUUCUGAAAGCCGCUGGCACUUUAGUGAUAAAUUAAGUGACAGGUAGUGAGGUGUUUGUCAAGGAAAGUGCCGUCCAAAUGCUAAAUACUGAUUAUUUCUGCAGCAGUGACUGCAAUACCUCACUCAAUCUCUGUCACUUGCCAGAAACAUAUAUGACUUUAUUAUUCUAAUUGAUUUUAAGAGAUAUUAUGAACUCAAAUCCAAAGUUAUGUCCCACUAACUUACUUUCCAGGGGAUUAUUCCUCACUUAACAUCUAUCAGGUGUCUUAGCUUAGCUCUCUUUUUACUUCAGGUUUUUCUUGCUUCCUCAGUGUGCUGGGAGUCCCACUCCACUCAAAUGCCCUCAGGUCUAAUAAUUAACUUCAUUGCAGGCUCCUGGCAGGCCUGGGUGGGCGGCAGCUGCAUUGUGCUCCUGAAGAAGAUUUAAGUUGGGUUUGGUGAACUGGUAGAAUUUGCAUUUUGCUGUUUCUUUCCCUCUCUCAGAAUUUGUACCUUUAAAUAGGUUUUUUAGUGUCAUUAAGUAUAUCA
rnacentral:lncRNA from 1 species